GGCAGCCGCGGUAAUUCCAGCUCCAAUAGCGUAUAUUAAAGUUGUUGCAGUUAAAAAGCUCGUAGUUGAAUUUCGGGAUUAGUACGCUGGUCGUGCCUUUGGUAUGUACUGGUGUUACUGAUUCCUACCUUCUGACGAACCGUCAUGUCAUUAAUUUGGUGUGGCGGGAAAUCAGGACUGUUACUUUGAAAAAAUUAGAGUGUUUAAAGCAGGCUCGCGCUUGAAUACAUUAGCAUGGAAUAAUGAAAUAGGACGUUCGAUCCUAUUUUGUUGGUUUCUAGGAUUGACGUAAUGAUUAAUAGGGAUAGUUGGGGGCAUUAGUAUUCAAUUGUCAGAGGUGAAAUUCUUGGAUUUAUUGAAGACUAACUACUGCGAAAGCAUUUGCCAAGGAUGUUUUCAUUAAUCAAGAACGAAAGUUAGGGGAUCGAAGACGAUCAGAUACCGUCGUAGUCUUAACCAUAAACUAUGCCGACUAGGGAUCGGAUGAUGUUAAUUUUUAAUGACUCAUUCGGCGCCUUAC
rnacentral:rRNA from 1 species